AAUCCAAAUACCACCUAAAAACCUGAUUGAAAUCAAAUUGAAACUCUCCCUUUCGAGAUCUAUUUAAGGACCCUAACCCUUUGAUUCAUCAUCACCAAAAAAUCACCAAAGAUCGCUAUUCUUUUUCUCCAGAUUUUGCCCUAUUCACCUGUGGAACAAUCUCAUUUUAGCCACUAGAAAUUGGAUCAAAUCUAUCCAAAAACUAGGUAAAUAUCUUCCAUAAUCUUUCUUCAAUCUUUAUGGAUUUUAAUCUUGAAUUUUUGCCAAAAUUUUCUAUCAAAAUCCCUUGAUAAUUUUUGUUUUCCCAAAUCUCUGAUUUUUGUCUUUUAUUCUUGAUUGCCAUCGCUGGUGGCCGUCGCUGGCAAUUGGACCAGGCCGCUCGACGUCACCAGUGAUUAGCCCACCUAUCGGAUUGGUGGUUGGUUGGGGGGAGGCCCCUUACUUCAAGAACAAGGGGGAGGAAGACCUCCCCUAUUUUGUGAAGAAAGAAAAGGAAAAGAAGAGGACGCACGGGUCCUCUAUUUCCUGUGAAGAAGAAAAGAAAGAAAAAAAGAAAAGAAGAAAGAGAAAAAGGAAAAGAAAAGAAAGAAAAGAAGAAAAGAAAAAAAAAUAAUAAUAUAAAUAAAAAAAAUGAGAGAGAGUUUCUCUCUCUUCAAUCUGAACCUUACUUUCUCUCUCUACUUUCUUUCUCUAAAAUUUUUUUUCUCUAGAUUGUUUCUCUCUCUUGAUGGAUUUCUCUCUCUCAAAGUUAUCUUUCUAAGAUAGCAUAGUGAAAGGCUUCUUUUGAUGAUUUUGAUCGAGCUUAGUGAAGGAUCCAAUCUUAAGAGAAGUUUUGAUUUAAAAUUUAUUUAGAUCUAAUUUUAAAUUAAAAUUAAUAUAAAAAUAUAAUUUUAAAUAAUAGGCACUAAAGAAUCUCUUAAAGAUUAAUCAAUCUGUUCAUUCAGUGGUCUGUGAAAGGUAAGUAAUGAAUCAUCUUCUCAAGAUAUUUCAUAUUUAUUUUAAAAAUAAAUAAUUAUUUUUUAAAAUUAUGUAUGAUUUAUGAAAUUAUAUUUUAAAUAAAAAUGAUUCUGAAAUACUAUGGAUUAUUGAUUAUGCAUAUGUUUAGUGAAAAAUUAUGAUAUAUUAUGAUACAAAAGUAUUUUGAUCGGAUUUAUGCUCUUAGCCUAACUAUAUUUCAGUGGGUCCCACCAAUAGGGAUCAUACAUUGGUAUUUAGUGGAUCCUGCUAGUGGAGGUUGUGUGCUGGUAUUUAGUGGAUCCUGUCAGUGGGGGUUGUACGCUCGUAUUCAAUAGACCCUGCCAGUGGGGGUUGUGUGUUGGUAUUCAGUAGACCCCAUCAAUGGGGGUUAACGUUGGUCAUAGUUGAGGCUGUUGAGUUAUGAGUGUUUUGAUUUGAAUCGAAUUUAUGAUUAUAUUGUAUAUAAAUAUUUGAAAAGAUGAAAUUUAUAUUGAAUAAGCAUGAAAUAUAUUUUUAUAUUUAUUUACAGCAUUGUUCUUAAAAAUUAUAUAAUAUCUAAAAUAUCUAGUUGAGAUAUUUAUUACUUAUUGAGCUGUCAAGCUCAUUACCUUUCUUUUUAUUUUUUAGAUUCAGAUAAUUAAUUGUGAGCGUGGGUAAUAAUAUUGGGAUAGAACUUUUAGAGGUGAGAUUUAGCAUUAUCAACUUCAUUAAAAUUAGAUCUAUUAUUUUAUUUUUAGUAAAAUUUUAUUGGAUAUAAGAUAUUUGAUUUAAUUAUUUGAAUUAAAGUUGAAUAAUAAUUAUUUGAUUUUAUUCCAUUGUGAUGCAUUGAUAUCGUGAUAAGAUGCCUUGCACGCUUGUGGAGAGAGUUCUUCAUAAGUAUGCGACGGUUGCCACGAUCUUGGACUCGCGAUCUCAGAUCGGGGGUGUGACAAUUAAUAUGAUAUCAGAGCAUAAGUGGAUAAACUAUAUGACACAUAGAAUCAGACAAAAGUGUAGGUGGGUAGAUACUCAGGACAUUGGGACAACGACUUAUACUGAUCAUCAUAUAAUUUAGAAACUUAAAUUGACAUAAGUGUACUAGUGGACUGAAUCAAAGUGUGUAAUGGAAGCAUAGUAGUCUGAAUUAUUUUCAAACUAAUCAGAAUAGUAAUUUGAUUUGAUAAAUAUUAUGAUGAAAGAUUCGAUUUUGAAAUUAGAGGAUGACAUGAUUUAACGAAAAAAUAAUAUAAAUUUUUGAAGACUUUUGUAGAAAAAAAUUUUGAGGAUGAAAUUUUUUUUUAGUGGGGAAGAAUGUGAUACCCCAAACCAGAUCCAAUAGUCGCACAAAUCUUAAAGCAUUAUAAAAAAUAUAUAGACUUUGAAACCAGCACGUGCUCUGCAUGUGCUAGGCUAUGGGUGGUGAGCGUGGAACCAGAAGAACUCAUGAAGGAGUUCUUCUCCCAAUCCAAUCCAAAUACCACCUAAAAAGCUGAUUGAAAUCGAAUUGAAACGCUCCCUUUUGAGAUCUAUUUAAGGACCCCAACCUCUUGAUUCAUCAUCACCAGAAAAUCACCAAAGAUCGUUGUUCUUUUUCUCCUGAUUUUGCCCUAUUCACUGGUGGAAUAAUCUCAUUUUAGCCAUCGAAAAUCGGAUCAAAUCCGUCUAAAAACUAGGUAAAUAUCUUCCAUAAUCUUCCUUCAAUCUUUAUGGGUUUUAAUCUUGAAUUUUUGCCAAAUUUUUCUAUCAAAAUCUCUUGAUAAUUUUUGUUUUCUCGAAUCCCCUAAUUUUGUCUUUUGUUCUUGAUUGCCAUCGUCGGUGGCCGCUUACUUCGAGAACAAGGGGGAGGAAGACCUCCCCUAUUCUGUGAAGAAAGAAAAGGAAAAGAAAAGGAUGCGCGGACCUCUAUUUCUUGUGAAGAAGAAAAAAAAAAGAAAAAAGAAAAGAAGAAAGAGAAAAAGGAAAAGAAAAGAAAGAAAA
rnacentral:lncRNA from 1 species